AAUACAAUUAAGACAAAGAAGAAGGUACAUUUGACAACUAUUUUAUGUAGCUCUACCUGAGGCUUUCCGACAGCGGGAGAAAUGUGCUGCCCCCUCCUGGUGAAUCCAUGUCCUGCUGCUGACAUCAGUACUUGACAUAAGUAUUUGUGUCUCUGAGCUGUAGUUGUCCUCAGUGGCUGACAGGACCACAGACAUUCAGAGUGACCUGGGGGUGUGAUGGUGAAACAAGCUCAACAAGAGUGAAAGGUGGGCAUCAUCUUAAAAUAAGCAGUCUCCUGCCUGGUAAAGAGUACCAGUUCAACAUGGCUACAGAGGGAGAAGACGGAAGCCAAAGCAGAUGGGUCCCAGCAUCCCUAUCCACAGUGGUCCCACCCAGAGAUUUAAAGAUCGACCAUUUGGAAGAGACCUCCUUCACUCUCCACUGGUCCAAGGCUGAAGGGAUGAGAAAGUCCAGCAGCACUUCUUCAUAUCCAACUGCAUCCCAGGAACAGACCCCCUCACAGCCAUUACUGACGACUGCCACAAAACCUUCUCAAACCUGCAUCCUGGCACCGAGUACACUGUUAGUGUUGCAACUGUGCUGAGCAAUGGGGAACAGAGUGAACCUGUCUCUACAACAGUCUGCACUAUACUUCCUGCUCCAGACCAGCUGACUGUUGAUUCAGUGGACACCACAUCAGCUGCUGUUAGCUGGAGCCAGCCACCAGGAUUGGACCAAACUAAACAUCAUUACCAGAUCUCUUACCGCUGUUCAGGGACAGAACCACACAUCACUAUCACAUCUUCACCCAGCAUCACUCUCUCUGACCUGAAACCUGCUACUGAAUACUCAGUCACUGUCUGCACUGUGCUGGAAAAUGGAAAGAAAAGUCAACUGGUGUUAACGACCUUCA